UACCGCGUGUGUGAAGAAGGCCUUAGGGUUGUAAAGCACUUUCAAUUGGGAGGAAAACCUACCGGUCAAUACCCGGUAGCUUGACAUUACCUUUAGAAGAAGCACCGGCUAACUCCGUGCCAGCAGCCGCGGUAAUACGGAGGGUGCGAGCGUUAAUCGGAAUUACUGGGCGUAAAGCGUGCGUAGGCGGUUCGUUAAGUCAGAUGUGAAAGCCCUGGGCUCAACCUGGGAACUGCAUUUGAAACUGGCGGACUAGAGUUUAGUAGAGGGGAGUGGAAUUUCAGGUGUAGCGGUGAAAUGCGUAGAUAUCUGAAGGAACACCAGUGGCGAAGGCGACUCCCUGGACUAGAACUGACGCUGAGGUACGAAAGCGUGGGUAGCAAACAGGAUUAGAUACCCUGGUAGUCCACGCCGUAAACGAUGUCGACUAGCCGUUGGGCCUAUAUACAGGUUUAGUGGCGCAGCUAACGCAUUAAGUCGACCGCCUGGGGAGUACGGCCGCAAGGUUAAAACUCAAAUGAAUUGACGGGGGCCCGCACAAGCGGUGGAGCAUGUGGUUUAAUUCGAUGCAACGCGAAGAACCUUACCUACCCUUGACAUCCAGAGAAUCUGUUAGAGA
rnacentral:rRNA from 1 species